CGCCCGUGGCACAAGAGCAGCAUCGAUUCCUGCCGCCAAUCCGGCUCCCGGGCUGCCAUCUCUGUUGGAGCUCCGGAGACGCCGUCGCGCCGCGCCACCGCGCGAGGAAAGGUAAGACGGUGGAAGCCGAAUCGGAGCCAUGGAAAUCGAGGAGCAAGCCGCCACGGCCAGAGCCAGUGCUGGAGCCGGCAGUGCCGACAACAAAGAAGAGCUCUUCUCCAGGGCGAGGCCUCCACAGGAGGCACAGAUUGACGGCGACGAGGAUGUCAUGCGCGAUGAUCUUGCAGAGGUGCCCAAGCCCGUGGAUGACACAAGUCAGCGCAGCCAGGGGGUCCCCAGCCAGGCAGCCUCGCCGCCGCCUCCAAACCGCUUCUCCCGACGUGGAUUGGCCUCGCGCUUCUCCUCUGUCGCUGUUCUCCGCCAGAAGAUGGAUCACGUCGCUUGGAAGGGGAGCGGGAGGCUUUAAAGGUCCAAGCUAUACGAGCUUGUACCAAGGCAGCGCAGAAAAUCCUGGCAGGACCUCUCUCGCAGAUCUUGCUCCCGGAUUGCAGCAAAUUUCGGAGCAGGGCUGCCCGAGCUGACGUCCCUUUCUCUCGCGAGCGUGAACCGACGAAUUACCGAGCGAGCUCAUGGUGGCCAUGGGGCCGAAACUAGAGGAGCUCAGUAUCUCACAUUGCAGCGUUACGGUGGCGGCUGUUGCAGCUUGCGGUUCGACUCUGAAAAGCUUUGCACUUCGAAGGCUUGGAGCUUACAGACGGCACCUUUCAGUGACGAGGUACUGGCGGACUUCGUCACGGCCGCUGGAAGCUGUUCAUCGCAAGCGUGAAAAAGGCACGUCUCACUGCGUUCUUCGUCAGGCCCUUUUGCCGCAGAGCGACCGAGGACGGGUUUGGAUUCCUUGUCCCAAUCUCGUGGAGCUCAGACUCUGCUCGUCUUCGAAAAAAAAACGCGAUUCUUUAAACAAUUUUAAAGAAAAUUGUCCGCCAUAGCCAGGGUUAGGGUGAGCAAAUUUUCCCUCCAUGUAAAAUCUAGGGUUCGUCGUCUCCGCAGCUUCCAUGGAUGUUGUGAUUGUGGCGGUCGCGGGUGCUUGUGUUGUCAUUGCGGCAACUUGCAUUGCAACCAUGCUCAUCAUCAACCUCCUCACCAAGAGCGUCAUCACCAUGGCUUCUUCAACCAGGGGAGCAGCGAAGGAGGAUCUACAGGCUCUCCGUGGAGCUCUCAAGGAGGAUCUGCAGGCUCUCCGUGGAGUUCUCAAGGAGGACCUUCCCAGCCUCAGGCAGGUGAUACAGGAUUUUGGUGCCUUGAGGGAGGAACUGAGGAUGCUGCGAGAUGCUCUGCGAGCUGAGGCAGCCCAGGGCCAAGCUAAUCCGUGGUGUGCAAACCGCACAGAAGUGGCGCUGCUGCUGCUGACCAUGUUCAGUGAUCGGUAGUUGAUUCAUAGGAAGUUCGACAAAACUGUUUUGUUUUUCGACAGGGAAAAAUCUUCUGAUUCGGAUCUUCGUUUC